rnacentral:rRNA from 1 species
UCAGUACAAAUAAUAUGCUGACUAAAGUUUAUUAACACUAAAGGACAAUAAAACUUGGGUAACAUUCUCAAUACAAAUAUUCUUAUUGCAUGCCAGCUAAAGUAGUAAAUUAUUGGUUUUCUCCUAAGACCACUGUUUAAUUGGGGCGAUAA